AUACUUACCUGGCAGGGGAGAGUCAAUGAUCACAAAGGUGGUUUCCCCAGGGUGAGGCUCAACCCAUUGCACUUUGGGCGUGCUGACCCCUGCGACUUCCCCAAAUGUGGGAAACUCGACUGUGUAAUUUAUGGUAGUGGGGACUGCAUGCGUGCUCUGCCCUG